rnacentral:rRNA from 1 species
AUUGAACGCUGGCGGCAGGCUUAACACAUGCAAGUCGAGCGGAAACGAUGCUAGUUUACUAGCAGGCGUCGAGCGGCGGACGGGUGAGUAAUGCUUGGGAAUAUGCCUUAAGGUGGGGGACAACAGUUGGAAACGACUGCUAAUACCGCAUAAUGUCUACGGACCAAAGGAGGGGCUCUUCGGACCUUUCGCCUAAAGAUUAGCCCAAGUGAGAUUAGCUAGUUGGUGGGGUAAAGGCUCACCAAGGCGACGAUCUCUAGCUGGUUUGAGAGGAUGAUCAGCCACACUGGGACUGAGACACGGCCCAGACUCCUACGGGAGGCAGCAGUGGGGAAUAUUGCACAAUGGGGGGAACCCUGAUGCAGCCAUGCCGCGUGUGUGAAGAAGGCCUUCGGGUUGUAAAGCACUUUCUAGCGAGGAGGAAAGGUUAGUCGCUAAUAUCGGCUAGCUGUGACGUUACUCGCAGAAGAAGCACCGGCUAACUCCGUGCCA